AUUGAACGCUGGCGGCAUGCUUUACACAUGCAAGUCGAACGGUAACAGGCCGCAAGGUGCUGACGAGUGGCGAACGGGUGAGUAAUGCAUCGGAACGUGCCCAGUCGUGGGGGAUAACGCAGCGAAAGCUGCGCUAAUACCGCAUACGAUCUAUGGAUGAAAGCGGGGGACCGUAAGGCCUCGCGCGAUUGGAGCGGCCGAUGUCAGAUUAGGUAGUUGGUGGGGUAAAGGCUCACCAAGCCAACGAUCUGUAGCUGGUCUGAGAGGACGACCAGCCACACUGGGACUGAGACACGGCCCAGACUCCUACGGGAGGCAGCAGUGGGGAAUUUUGGACAAUGGGCGCAAGCCUGAUCCAGUAAUGCCGCGUGCAGGAAGAAGGCCUUCGGGUUGUAAACUGCUUUUGUACGGAACGAAACGGUCCGGGUUAAUACCCUGGGCUAAUGACGGUACCGUAAGAAUAAGCACCGGCUAACUACGUGCCAGCAGCCGCCGUAAGAC
rnacentral:rRNA from 1 species